rnacentral:rRNA from 1 species
CCUACGGUGUGCAGCAGUGGGGAAUAUUGGACAAUGGGCGAAAGCCUGAUCCAGCCAUGCCGCGUGUGUGAAGAAGGCCUUCGGGUUGUAAAGCACUUUCAGUGGGGAAGAAAGCCUUGGGGCUAAUACCCUCGAGGAAGGACAUCACCCACAGAAGAAGCACCGGCUAACUCCGUGCCAGCAGCCGCGGUAAUACGGAGGGUGCGAGCGUUAAUCGGAAUUACUGGGCGUAAAGCGCGCGUAGGCGGUCUGAUAAGCCGGUUGUGAAAGCCCCGGGCUCAACCUGGGAACGGCAUCCGGAACUGUCAGGCUAGAGUGCAGGAGAGGAAGGUAGAAUUCCCGGUGUAGCGGUGAAAUGCGUAGAGAUCGGGAGGAAUACCAGUGGCGAAGGCGGCCUUCUGGACUGACACUGACGCUGAGGUGCGAAAGCGUGGGUAGCAAACAGGAUUAGAUACCCUAGUAGUC